UUGAUCUCAAAUCAGGUAGGACUACCCGCUGAACUUAAGCAUAUCAAAA
rnacentral:rRNA from 1 species